CAGGAGCACUGAAUUCUAACUUGAACAAACCAGUACUUCCACCUGAAAUCCUGGGGGCUGAAGCACAGGCUUCUGAGGGCUUUAACAGCCCUUGGAUUCUCUAUCUCUCAAGACUAGAACCUCAGGAGUAAAUAAACCUCAGGAAGAAGAACAGCUGCUUUUCAGGACAAUAUUAAGGAGAUUUCAUUUAUUUAUUUUUAGAGAGGGGGAAGGGAGGAGAAAGAG